UACGUAGGGGGCUAGCGUUAUCCGGAAUUACUGGGCGUAAAGGGUGCGUAGGUGGUUUCUUAAGUCAGAGGUGAAAGGCUACGGCUCAACCGUAGUAAGCCUUUGAAACUGGGGAACUUGAGUGCAGGAGAGGAGAAUGGAAUUCCUAGUGUAGCGGUGAAAUGCGUAGAUAUUAGGAGGAACACCAGUUGCGAAGGCGGCUCUCUGGACUGUAACUGACACUGAGGCACGAAAGCGUGGGGAGCAAACAGG
rnacentral:rRNA from 1 species